rnacentral:rRNA from 1 species
GAGUUUGAUCCUGGCGUCAGGAUGAACGCUAGCGACAGGCUUAACACAUGCAAGUCGAGGGGCAGCAUGGUCUUAGCUUGCUAAGGCCGAUGGCGACCGGCGCACGGGUGAGUAACGCGUAUCCAACCUGCCUUACACUCUUGGACAGCCUUCUGAAAGGGAGAUUAAUACAAGAUGUUAUCAUGAGUAAGCAUUUUCGCAUGAUUAAAGGUUUACCGGUGUAAGAUGGGGAUGCGUUCCAUUAGAUAGUAGGCGGGGUAACGGCCCCACCUAGUCUUCGAUGGAUAGGGGUUCUGAGAGGAAGGUCCCCCCACAUUGGAACUGAGACACGGUCCAAACUCCUACGGGAGGCAGCA